ACCGGCAGCUCAAGUGGUGGCCAUUAUUAUUGGGCCUAAAGCGUUCGUAGCCGGUUUGAUAAGUCUCUGGUGAAAUCCCGCAGCUUAACUGUGGGACUUGCUGGAGAUACUAUCAGACUUGAGGUCGGGAGAGGUCAGGGGUACUCCCAGGGGCGGGGUGAAAUCCGAGAAGAAUGGGAGGAAAAAAGGUGGCGAAGGAGAAUAAAUGGAACGAAACUGACGGUGAGUAAAGAAAGGCAGGGGCGCGAACCG
rnacentral:rRNA from 1 species